rnacentral:rRNA from 1 species
GACGAAUGCUGGCGGCGUGCUUAACACAUGCAAGUCGAGCGGUAAGGCCCUUUCGGGGGUACGACGAGCGGCGAACGGGUAGAGUAACACGUGGGUGGACCUGCCCUCCAGCUCUGGGAGUAAGCCUGGGAAACGUGGGUCGUAAUACUGGAUAUGACUCCACGGUGCAUGUCGUGGGGUGGAAAGCCUUGUGCGGCUGAGGAUGGGCCCGCGGCCUAUCAGCUUGUUGGUGGGGUGGAUGGCCUACCAAGGCGACGACGGGUAGCCGGCCUGAGAGGGCGACCGGCCACACUGGGACUGAGACACGGCCCAGACUCCUACGGGAGGCAG